CGAAAGGGCGAGGAAUAACUACCUAACGUGCCUUCAGGUAAGGGAUAGCUCAUGGAAACGUGUGGUAAUACCUUAUAAUCUCACUAGUUCAUAUGGAUUUUUGAGCAAAGGCUUGCUGCCUGAAGAUCGGGGUAGUUCCUAUCAGCUUGUUGGUAAGGUAACGGCUUACCAAGGCUAAGACGGGUAGCGGGUGUGAGAGCAUGACCCGCCGCAUCGGGACUGAGACACUGCCCGG
rnacentral:rRNA from 1 species